rnacentral:rRNA from 1 species
UACGGGGGAUGCAAGCGUUAUCCGGAAUUAUUGGGCGUAAAGCGUCCUCAGGUGGUUUGUCAAGUCUGCUGUUAAAGCGUGGAGCUUAACUCCAUAUCGGCGGUGGAAACUGAUGAACUAGAGGGUGGUAGGGGUCACGGGAAUUCCCAGUGUAGCGGUGAAAUGCGUAGAUAUUGGGAAGAACACCAGCGGCGAAAGUGCGUGACUGGGCCAUUAAUGACACUCAUGGACGAAAGCUAGGGGAGCGAAAGGG